rnacentral:tRNA from 1 species
GGGGAGAUGGCUCAGUGGUUAGAGCACUGACUGUUCUUCCAGAGGUCCUGAGUUCAAAUCCCAGCAACCACA